rnacentral:rRNA from 1 species
GAACUUAAAGGAAUUAGACGGGGCCGGCACAAGCGGUGGAGCAUGUGGUUUAAUUCGAUGAUACGCCGAGGAACCGUUACCUGGGCUCAAAUGUAUGUUUGACGUAUUCUGAAAGGGAUACUUCUUCGGACAAUAUACAAGGUGCUGCAUGGUUGUCGUCAGCUCGUGCCGUGAGGUGUCGGGUUAAGUCCCAUAACGAGCGCAACCCCUAUCAUUAGUUGCCAUCAGGUCAAGCUGGGGACUCUAAUGAAACUGCCUACGCAAGUAGUGAGGAAGGUGGGGAUGACGUCAAAUCAGCACGGCCCUUACGUCCAGGGCUACACACGUGCUACAAUGGCUGGAACAAAGGGAUGCGAAGCAGUGAUGUGGAGCGAAACCCAUAAAACAGUCUCAGUUCGGAUUGAAGUCUGCAACUCGACUUCAUGAAGUCGGAAUCGCUAGUAAUCGCGGAUCAGAACGCCGCGGUGAAUACGUUCUCGGGGUUU